rnacentral:rRNA from 1 species
CGCGCAGGUGGUUAAUUAAGUCAAAUGUGAAAUCCCCGAGCUUAACUUGGGAAUUGCAUUCGAUACUGGUUAGCUAGAGUAUGGGAGAGGAUGGUAGAAUUCCAGGUGUAGCGGUGAAAUGCGUAGAGAUCUGGAGGAAUACCGAUGGCGAAGGCAGCCAUCUGGCCUAAUACUGACACUGAGGUGCGAAAGCAUGGGGAGCAAACA